UGGGAAGUCUUAGUUAACAGGAGGAAGGGCAGCUAGUGAAGGUGCACAGCUUGUGUGGAACCAGAAUGGUCAAAGGUCAGCAGCCUGCAGGGCCCAGGGAAGUGAGGGGCCCAGUGCCCUUGGCAGGAACUGUCUCAGCUGAACAGUGGCCACAACUUGGGUUGAAUAAAUGGGAAAAAUUUAAGUACCAUCUAUUUACAGAAGCGAGGCUGUACAAGAAGGGAGAGAAUGAACAGAGCCUGGGUGGGUUUAAUGAGGUGGUAAAGAGACCAUGGAUGAAAUAAAAUUCCUAAGUGUACAGCAUCCAGCACUCUGUCAGAGGACUUUGCUGUCCAAGGAACAGCAGCUUCCUUCUUUUUUUCUGCACAUUCUUCAGUCUCUCAGCACAGUUCUGCACCUAAUAGGCCCCAAGUAACUAUUUCUUCAAAAAAUAACACUGUCAGUAAAAUUGUUAAAAAGCUUGCUUCUUAAAUUUUCCAACUUGUUCAAAAAAAUUUCUCUCCCACUUCAAAACCCUGACUUAUGUUCUGGCCACGCCCUGGGGAGCAGGCACUCAAUACAGAUGCCUUCAUGCCUGGGACCCUCCCACUUUUUCUCAGCUCCAGUAAGCAGAUGGUAUUGAUAGCAAGGCCCAGGCUGAGCACAGAAGGUGAAAAACAAUGUGAAAGCCAGUCAAUUAACAGUGUGAUUAAACACAGGGAGACUCAUCCACCCAGGCGGUUAUUCGGCAAUUUCUAGACUGGAGAAAGACCCAUUGAUGGAGUGUUCGCCGACCGCUGGUAAUAUAAAAAAGCCAGAAGAAAACAACAGGAGCUAGAUCUGUGAGGCAGGGAGUGGGGCUCAGAACUGUGACCAACUGGACGACACGGAGGGCCAGCCAGAGUACAUGCUUUAUCUGGAUCCAGGUUGGUGGUGCGUCUAAAAUGGCCUGUUUCUAAAGCGUAACAAGCCCAGAAGUCCACGCAGCGUCAUGCCUAGUGCAGGACUGUGCCACCCUGGAGGUGCCCGGUGCUCCUCCAGGGCCUGGGGUAGAACACGGCUGCCUUCCUCUGGCCUGAACCGCUGUGCUCGGAAGGGCCAUUUCUAUAAGGACACAGACUCAUGGAAAGAAGGACUUUCUACCUCCAUGGUGUCCGGUGAGCAGAUGCAGAAACACAAGGUUAGGAAAGACAACUCAACUACUGAGGUGCUCAAGGCCAGCAGCACUGGCUCAGCCAAGGUCAGUUCUCUGGGAAGCUUUCCAGGAGCCAGAUGAUCGUCCCUGGUGGGGUGGGGUCGGGGGGCUGUACACUGGCCUCAGGGCAUCAGCUCCAGCACUGGACGCCUUGACAACCCUUCAGGUUUUUUCUACUUUGCUUUUCUCACAAACUCCCUUUUCUGGCACCAAUUUCUAGAAUUUAGUUUUUUUUGUUUUUGGCCACACCUUGCAGCUUGCAGGCUCUUAGUUUCCUGAACGUGGGCCACGGCAGUGAGAGCUUUGAGUCUUCACCACUUGGACCCGCCAGGGAAUCCCCCAGUUUCCAGAAGUUAAAUUCAGGUUUUAGGAAUUUGGGGAAGACAGCCAAACAACUUGCUUAAAUUUAUUCUUUAUUAGGUCAUGACGGCUCUUUUCCAGAUAGUUUUCAGAAAUUUUGCUGUACUGAACAUUCAGUUCUUAGUAUUAGGUCUCAAGUUAAAAAAUGUAAAAAACCAAAGACACCCCCAAGUCCAAGUUGUCCCUUCCUAGCCCUCCCUCAUCCAAGUCAUAACUACACUCUCAGGUUUCUGGGGCAGGAUACGCUUGCCACACCCCAGACUCGGGGAGACUGAGGCUGGGGAGACAUGUUCUCACCAGCCACCAUGUCUGCGUGGGCAUUCAGAGCUGUCGCGGGUGAGGAGCUGGACUCAGCCUCACCGGCAGGGACAGUGAUGUGUCUGGGGGACAAUGUCUGUCUCAAUAAGUCUGCUUCACAAGGCUACAGGGUCAUGUUAGGGACCAUUUCACUGGGCAGCACCAGCUUCUGAGUGUGAAGGAGCGGAGCAGCCAUAAUCUGUGCUCCUCUGAGCCAACUCCUCGGGCAGCACUGCUGCCCCAUCCCCUGCACGGAGGGCUCUGGGGGACACGGGAGCUCUUCUAAAGGACUGCGAGGGGGUGGCGAGAGGAAGGAAACGUGAGCCCUCGGAUCAGAGGGGCAGGGGGCAGCACUCUCCACUCCAGUUCAAGGCAUGUGCCCAGAUCAGCUCAGUGAAAACUUGAAACUAUGUCCUUCCCUUCCAAGGUCCAGUCCUGGGGCUGAAAGAGCAAAGCCAUGUACUGUGACAUUUUCCAGGGUAGACAGAAGCUGUUAUGGAUUCUAACAGCUGUGUUCCAGAAAACAGGAAUGAAAAACGAAAAUGGACAACUCAUCACCACCUAUCUCCCUUCUAAGUGGCGAGACAUAGUAACUGAAGCUAGAGGCUCCUUUCCAGGAGGUACAAAAUCUGUCUUUCCUCAACAACAAGUAUAAACACCGAGGGUUAAUAAAAAUACCCUGAAAACAAUAAACUGAAAAUGGACCAAC